CUAUGAAGGAUACUGUGGCUAGAAGUCGUCCUGUCGUCCUGCCUCACAGUAACAUCGUUACCGAAUUCUCAGCAGGUGAACCAAAUGAAAUGGUCAACUGAAAGCCAACCAGGGGUCUUGUCCUGUCACUCUGGCUGGAAUACAGUGGCAUAAUCAUAGCUCACUGCGGCCUCCAUCUCCUGGGUUCAAGUGAUUCUCCUGCUUCAGCUUCCCAAGUAUCUGGGACUACAGCAAAAAAUCACCAUGUACCAACCUAUCCAAACUUAUCCAUGGAUGAAUCUAUCCAGAAGACGGGAGUUCCGAUGCUUGUCUUGCUCUGAAUGUCUGCUUGUCACCUGCUUAGGGUUAUCGACUGUGAUUCUGGGACUCAUUGUUGUU
rnacentral:lncRNA from 1 species